rnacentral:rRNA from 1 species
AUUCCAGCUCCAAUAGCGUAUAUUAAAGUUGUUGCGGUUAAAAAGCUCGUAGUUGGAUUUCUGCUGAGGACGACCGGUCCGCCCUCUGGGUGAGUAUCUGGCUUGGCCUUGGCAUCUUCUUGGAGAACGUAGCUGCACUUGACUGUGUGGUGCGGUAUCCAGGACUUUUACUUUGAGGAAAUUAGAGUGUUUCAAGCAGGCACACGCCUUGAAUACAUUAGCAUGGAAUAAUAAGAUAGGACCUUGGUUCUAUUUUGUUGGUUUCUAGAGCUGAGGUAAUGAUUGAUAGGGAUAGUUGGGGGUGCUAGUAUUGAGCGGCCAGAGGUGAAAUUCUUGGAUUUAUGGAAGACAAACUAAUGCGAAAGCAUCUACCAAGGAUGUUUUCAUCA